UACGUAGGGAGCAAGCGUUGUUCGGAUUUACUGGGCGUAAAGGGCGCGUAGGCGGCGCGGUAAGUCACUUGUGAAAUCUCUGAGCUUAACUCAGAACGGCCAAGUGAUACUGCAGUGCUAGAGUGCAGAAAGGGCAAUCGGAAUUCUCGGUGUAGCGGUGAAAUGCGUAGAUAUCGAGAGGAACACCUGCGGCGAAGGCGGGUUGCUGGGCCGACACUGACGCUGAGGCGCGAAAGCUAGGGGAGCGAACGGG
rnacentral:rRNA from 1 species